rnacentral:rRNA from 1 species
CCGGAGUGAACGAACCGCUGGUGUUCGGGUUGUCAUGCCAAUGGCAUUGCCCGGUAGCUACGUUCGGAACUGAUAAGCGCUGAAAGCAUCUAAGCGCGAAGCAGGCCUCGAGAUGAUUUCUCACUAGACUUUUAAAGUCUCUGAAGGGCCGUUGAAGACUACAACGUUGAUAGGCAAGAUGUGGAAGUGGUGUGAGCCAUUAAGCUAACUUGUACUAAUUACCCGUGAGGCUUAACCAUACAACGCCAAACGCGUUUUG